rnacentral:lncRNA from 10 species
GCGCUUAGUCUUGGGGGACCCUGGAGUGAGGAGAAUGAAUACCGCCCCUGCCCUUAUGGAACAGCAGUGGGGAGCGCCUGUGGAAUAGGGGAGUGAGAUGGAUUAUAGAAGUCUUGGGGGAAAUCCAAGAAGGUUCAAAGUGAGGGCCGUGUUCAGAAAAAGUUUGCCAACUCCUGCUCUAGAUUGAUGGUUACAAAGUCUGACAGAGGAUACAGUUACAGGGACAUGGCAAAGCCAGAAAAACGAGGACCGGGAGUCCAGCUUUCAACAAAGCCAAUCUAUUCAAUCUCCAGACUACCCUUUGUACCAAGGAAGUCACGGGGUGACUCCAAGCAGGGCCCCCUUUGCAUUCAGCCUGCCCUUCUCUCAGCCCAGAUAAGAGACUGGAGACACAGAGAGGCUCCAGAACUUACCCAAGGUCACACAGCUUCUAAAUGGGUGUUGUUGGAACCUACUUUCAGAGACCUGAUUCCAAAACCCUCACUGAUACUUUCCGUGAGUCCAGAUGAAGAGAGGGCUUCAAGGAAAAUCCAUUCAGUGCCAGGAUGCUACCAGCUCCCUGGGGCAUGGGACUGCCAUCCUCUCCUAGGCGUCU